GCCGGGCAUGGUGGCGCACACCUGUAAUUCCAGCUACUGGGAGGCUGAGGUGGGAGGAUCACUUGAGCCCAGGAGGCAGAGUUUAGCUGAGCUGGGAUCAUGCCACUGUACUCCAGCCUGGGCAACAGAGUGAGACCCUGCCUCAA
rfam:Homo sapiens chromosome 5, GRCh38 reference primary assembly.